rnacentral:rRNA from 1 species
GAUGAACGCUAGCUACAGGCUUAACACAUGCAAGUCGCGGGGCAGCAUGGGGGUUGCUUGCAAUCCCCGAUGGCGACCGGCGCACGGGUGAGUAACGCGUAUCCAACCUGCCCUUCACCACGGGAUAACCCGGCGAAAGUCGGACUAAUACCGUAUGUUGUCCAUUGACGGCAUCCGAUUUGGACGAAAGGUGUGGCGGCGAAGGAUGGGGAUGCGUCCGAUUAGCUGGACGGCGGGGUGACGGCCCACCGUGGCGACGAUCGGUAGGGGUUCUGAGAGGAAGGUCCCCCACACUGGAACUGAGACACGGUCCAGACUCCUACGGGAGGCAGCAGUGAGGAAUAUUGGUCAAUGGGCGUAAGCCUGAACCAGCCAAGUAGCGUGCAGGAUGACGGCCCUAUGGGUUGUAAACUGCUUUUAUGCGGGGAUAAAGUGGCCCACGUGUGGGUUUUUGCAGGUACCGCAUGAAUAAGAACCGGCUAAUUCCGUG